GACGAACGCUGGCGGCGUGCUUAACACAUGCAAGUCGAACGGAAAGGCCCUGCUUUUGUGGGGUGCUCGAGUGGCGAACGGGUGAGUAACACGAGAGUAACCUGCCCUUGACUUUGGGAUAACUUCUGGAAACUGGGGCUAAUACCGGAUAGGAGCUCCUGCUGCAUGGUGGGGGUUGGAAAGUUUCGGCGGUUGGGGAUGGACUCGCGGCUUAUCAGUUUGUUGGUGGGGUAGUGGCUUACCAAGGCUUUGACGGGUAGCCGGCCUGAGAGGGUGACCGGCCACAUUGGGACUGAGAUACGGACCAGACUCCUACGGGAGGCAGCAGGGGGGAAUAUUGCACAAUGGACGGAAGCCUGAUGCAGCAACGCCGCGUGCGUGAAGACGGCCUUCGGGUUGUAAACCGCUUUCGCCUUUGACGAAGCGUGAGUGACUGUAAUGGGUAAAGAAGCACCGGCUAACUACGUG
rnacentral:rRNA from 1 species